UGAACCUUAUCAUUUAGAGGAAGGAGAAGUCGUAACAAGGUUUCCGUAGGUGAACCUGCGGAAGGAUCAUUGUCGAAACUUGCCAAGCAGAACGACCCGCGAACUAGUACAAGCAGCCAUGGGGGCGCUUGUGGCGGGCUUGAUUGCCCCCAUUCUCUGCCCCAUUGCCGGGUGCGUUGUUGAACUGCGUUCCUCGGCCGAAAAUAAACCCCGACGCAAAUCGCGUCAAGGAACUCAAACAAUAGAAGGGAAGCGCGCCCCCUGGAUCUCAUUUGCGAGUGAAGUUACGGGGGGUAGCGGUCGCAUCUUUCAUGAACAUUACGACUCUCGGCAACGGAUAUCUCGGCUCUCGCAUCGAUGAAGAACGUAGCGAAAUGCGAUACUUGGUGUGAAUUGCAGAAUCCCGCGAACCAUCGAGUCUUUGAACGCAAGUUGCGCCCGAAGCCAUUAGGCUGAGGGCACGUCUGCCUGGGCGUCUCACAUUGCGUCGCCCCUCGGCCUGUGCCCGCAAAGGGUUCUUGGGUUGAUGGGGGCGGAUUUUGGCCCCCCGUGUGCCCUAGUGCACGGUCGGCCUAAAGAUGAGAAACCGGCGAAGAACGUCACGAUGAGUUGUGGAUGUGAAAACGUUGCGUCAUGUCGUGCUCGUCUCGCCCCAAGGGUUGCUUUUGUUUUUGACCUUGAAAGCGUCGUUUUCAUGAUGCCUCAAU
rnacentral:rRNA from 1 species